AAAACUCGUAAAUCCGCUAAGAUAUCAAAGCAAACGUGAACCGUAGCAGUAAAGGGAAACGCCGGUGCAAGUCCGGGACUGUGCGGCAACUGUGAGCGAUAUCUUCGCAAGUCAGAACGCCUCUAGUGCUACUUCUCACUC
rnacentral:ncRNA from 1 species